rnacentral:tRNA from 1 species
AGGCGUAUAGCUCAGUUGGUUAGAGCGCCACCUUGACAUGGUGGAGGUCGCUAGUUCGAAUCUAGUUACGCCUACCA